rnacentral:rRNA from 1 species
AUGUGUUACUUGGGAAACUGCCCCAAAUACUUAGCGGACAAGAAGGCCGGCAACACUAAAGGUAUAUUUGAUAUACAUGUAAUUGAUGUGUACCUUACCAGUACUCGUAGUAACUCCUGGGUAUUUGAUAUCGGUGCCGUUGCUCACAUUUGUAACUCACAGCAGGAGCUGCGGAAUAAGCGGAGACUGGCGAAGGACGAGGUGACGAUGCGCGUCGGGAAUGGUUCAAAGGUCGAUGUGAUCGCCGUCGGCACGCUACCUCUACAUUUACCUACGGGAUUAGUUUUAAACCUCAAUAAUUGUUAUUUAGUGCCAAGUUUGAGCAUGAACAUUGUAUCUGGAUCUCGUUUAAUACGAGAUGGAUACUCAUUUAAAUCCGAGAAUAAUGGUUGUUCUAAUUAUAUGAGAGAUAUGUUUUAUGGUCAUGCCCCGAUGGUCAAU